rnacentral:lncRNA from 1 species
GGCCUGGGAUCAAAACAAAUCCUAGUAUAUAGUUUAAUGUCUAACAUGGUUUAAAUCCACUUAAGUGAAACAUUCCAAGAUGCAAGAAAUGGGAAAGGGUGUGUGAAGGCUCCAGGAAGUGGUCAAUGGUUUUGCAGCCAUGUUUUGAGGUUUUCAUUUCUACCACAGAGGUAACAAGGAAGAGAAUGAAGAAGAGGAAGAUUUACAAGUGGAGACGAGAGAGUGAAGAUGAUACGUGAUGGUGCUGAGGCUGCACACACAAACAUUGAGACCGUGUGGUGUAUUAACAACCGCACAGAUAUCAACGCUAUUAACAUACAGCCAGAAGCAGAGGGGUUCCCAGAUGACAGCCGUGUCCUGCGCGACACUCAAGUCCCAAAAAGGAAGACUUCAUGCGUGGCAGAAGGAAAUUUGACGGAGGUGAUAAUGAUGUGCUAAUGGUUAUGCCAAUUGAAAGAAAAAAAUGACUGUCAGCAUUAAAUAGAAUUUGC